GAGGGUAUAGCUCAGUGGUAGAGCGCAUGCUUAGCAUGCAUAAGGUUCUGGGUUUAAUCACCAGGACCUCCG
rnacentral:tRNA from 1 species